AGUCAAUAGAUACCCAGGUAGUCCACGCUGUAAACGAUGAGUGCUAGUUGUCGGCAUGCAUGCAUGUCGGUGACGCAGCUAACGCAUUAAGCACUCCGCCUGGGGAGUACGGUCGCAAGAUUAAAACUCAAAGGAAUUGACGGGGCCGGCCACAAAGCGGUGGAGCAUGUGGUUUAAUUUCGAAGCAACGCGCAGAACCUUACCACCUUUGUACAUGCCCUCGAUCGCCGGAGAGAUCCGGUUUUCCCUUUCGGGGUACGAGGACGACAGGUGCUGCAUGACUGUCGUCAGCUCGUGUCGUGAGAUGUU
rnacentral:rRNA from 1 species